rnacentral:rRNA from 1 species
CGCAGGGUACAGGGUGAUACUCCCGUACACUAAAACACACAGGCUGUGAACUCGAAGAGUAGGGCGGGACACGUGGUAUCCUGUCUGAAUAUGGGGGGACCAUCCUCCAAGGCUAAAUACUCCUGACUGACCGAUAGUGAACCAGUACCGUGAGGGAAAGGCGAAAAGAACCCCGGCGAGGGGAGUGAAAAAGAACCUGAAACCGUGUACGUACAAGCAGUAGGAGCCCCACCACCAAAGCGUUUCGCUUUGCGUGGUGCGCAAAAUGCGUAACGACAGCAUGAUGGACGGUUAACGGAGCGUCAGCGACGUUCAACCUCAAAAAUCAGGCAGUGGAGCGUUUUGGGGUGGGGUGACUGCGUACCUUUUGUAUAAUGGGUCAGCGACUUAUAUUCUGUAGCAAGGUUAACCGUAUAGGGGAGCCGCAGGGAAACCGAGUCUUAACUGGGCGUUAAGUUGCAGGGUAUAGACCCGAAACCCGGUGAUCUAGCCAUGGGCAGGUUGAAGGUUGGGUAACACUAACUGGAGGACCGAACCGACUAAUGUUGAAAAAUUAGCGGAUGACUUGUGGCUGGGGGUGAAAGGCCAAUCAAACCGGGAGAUAGCUGGUUCUCCCCGAAAGCUAUUUAGGUAGCGCCUCGUGAACUCAUCUUCGGGGGUAGAGCACUGUUUCGGCUAGGGGGUCAUCCCGACUUACCAACCCGAUGCAAACUACGAAUACCGAAGAAUGUUAUCACGGGAGACACACGGCGGGUGCUAACGUCCGUCGUGAAGAGGGAAACAACCCAGACCGCCAGCUAAGGUCCCAAAGUCAUGGUUAAGUGGGAAACGAUGUGGGAAGGCCCAGACAGCCAGGAUGUUGGCUUAGAAGCAGCCAUCAUUUAAAGAAAGCGUAAUAGCUCACUGGUCGAGUCGGCCUGCGCGGAAGAUGUAACGGGGCUAAACCAUGCACCGAAGCUGCGGCAGCGACACUAUGUGUUGUUGGGUAGGGGAGCGUUCUGUAAGCCGUUGAAGGUGGCCUGUGAGGGUUGCUGGAGGUAUCAGAAGUGCGAAUGCUGACAUAAGUAACGAUAAUGCGGGUGAAAAACCCGCACGCCGGAAGACCAAGGGUUCCUGUCCAACGUUAAUCGGGGCAGGGUGAGUCGACCCCUAAGGCGAGGCCGAAAGGCGUAGUCGAUGGGAAACAGGUUAAUAUUCCUGUACUUGGUGUUACUGCGAAGGGGGGACGGAGAAGGCUAUGUUGGCCGGGCGACGGUUGUCCCGGUUUAAGCAUGUAGGCGGAUG